UAUACAUGCAAGUCGAGCGAACAGAUGAGAAGCUUGCUUCUCUGAUGUUAGCGGCGGACGGGUGAGUAACACGUGGGUAACCUACCUAUAAGACUGGGAUAACUCCGGGAAACCGGGGCUAAUACCGGAUAAUAUUUUGAACCGCAUGGUUCAAUAGUGAAAGACGGUUUCGGCUGUCACUUAUAGAUGGACCCGCGCCGUAUUAGCUAGUUGGUAAGGUAACGGCUUACCAAGGCGACGAUACGUAGCCGACCUGAGAGGGUGAUCGGCCACACUGGAACUGAGACACGGUCCAGACUCCUACGGGAGGCAGCAGUAGGGAAUCUUCCGCAAUGGGCGAAAGCCUGACGGAGCAACGCCGCGUGAGUGAUGAAGGUCUUCGGAUCGUAAAACUCUGUUGUUAGGGAAGAACAAAUUUGUUAGUAACUGAACAAGUCUUGACGGUACCUAACCAGAAAGCCACGGCUAACUACGUGCCAGCAGCCGCGGUAAUACGUAGGUGGCAAGCGUUAUCCGGAAUUAUUGGGCGUAAAGCGCGCGUAGGCGGUUUCUUAAGUCUGAUGUGAAAGCCCACGGCUCAACCGUGGAGGGUCAUUGGAAACUGGGAAACUUGAGUGCAGAAGAGGAGAGUGGAAUUCCAUGUGUAGCGGUGAAAUGCGCAGAGAUAUGGAGGAACACCAGUGGCGAAGGCGGCUCUCUGGUCUGUAACUGACGCUGAUGUGCGAAAGCGUGGGGAUCAAACAGGAUUAGAUACCCUGGUAGUCCACGCCGUAAACGAUGAGUGCUAAGUGUUAGGGGGUUUCCGCCCCUUAGUGCUGCAGCUAACGCAUUAAGCACUCCGCCUGGGGAGUACGACCGCAAGGUUGAAACUCAAAGGAAUUGACGGGGACCCGCACAAGCGGUGGAGCAUGUGGUUUAAUUCGAAGCAACGCGAAGAACCUUACCAAAUCUUGACAUCCUUUGACCGCUCUAGAGAUAGAGUCUUCCCCUUCGGGGGACAAAGUGACAGGUGGUGCAUGGUUGUCGUCAGCUCGUGUCGUGAGAUGUUGGGUUAAGUCCCGCAACGAGCGCAACCCUUAAGCUUAGUUGCCAUCAUUAAGUUGGGCACUCUAGGUUGACUGCCGGUGACAAACCGGAGGAAGGUGGGGAUGACGUCAAAUCAUCAUGCCCCUUAUGAUUUGGGCUACACACGUGCUACAAUGGAUAAUACAAAGGGCAGCGAAUCCGCGAGGCCAAGCAAAUCCCAUAAAAUUAUUCUCAGUUCGGAUUGUAGUCUGCAACUCGACUACAUGAAGCUGGAAUCGCUAGUAAUCGUAGAUCAGCAUGCUACGGUGAAUACGUUCCCGGGUCUUGUACACACCGCCCGUCACACCACGAGAGUUUGUAACACCCGAAGCCGGUGGAGUAACCUUUUAGGAGC
rnacentral:rRNA from 2 species